rnacentral:tRNA from 3 species
UGGGGAGUCGCCAAGUGGUAAGGCACAUGGUUUUGGUCCAUGCAUUCGGGGGUUCGAAUCCCUCCUCCCCAGCCA